rnacentral:rRNA from 1 species
GACGAACGCUGGCGGCGUGCUUAACACAUGCAAGUCGAACGAAAAGAGGGAAAGAGCUUGCUCUUUCCGGAAUUGAGUGGCAAACGGGUGAGUAACACGUAAACAACCUGCCUUCAGGAUGGGGACAACAGACGGAAACGACUGCUAAUACCGAAUAAGUUCCAAGAGCCGCAUGGCCCAUGGAAGAAAAGGUGGCCUCUACCUGUAAGCUAUCGCCUGAAGAGGGGUUUGCGUCUGAUUAGCUGGUUGGGGGGGUAACGGCCCACCAAGGCGACGAUCAGUAGCCGGUCUGAGAGGAUGAACGGCCACACUGGAACUGAGACACGGUCCAGACUCCUACGGGAGGCAGCAGUGGGGAAUCUUCCGCAAUGGGCGAAAGCCUGACGGAGCAACGCCGCGUGAGUGAUGACGGCCUUCGGGUUGUAAAACUCUGUGAUCCGGGACGAAAAGGCAGAGUGCGAAGAACAAACUGCAUUGACGGUACCGGAAAAGCAAGCCACGGCUAACUACGUG